UCACACUCUGAAUCCUGGAGCCAGCAGACC
rnacentral:piRNA from 1 species